rnacentral:rRNA from 1 species
CAGCAGCCACGGGAAUACGGAGGGGGCUAGCGUUGUUCGGAAUUACUGGGCGUAAAGCGCACGUAGGCGGCUUGGUAAGUUAGAGGUGAAAGCCUGGAGCUCAACUCCAGAAUUGCCUUUAAGACUGCCGAGCUAGCAGGUGAGAGAGGUAAGUGGAAUUCCGAGUGUAGAGGUGAAAUUCGUAGAUAUUCGGAAGAACACCAGUGGCGAAGGCGGCUUACUGGCUCAUACUGGACGCUGAGGUGCGAAAGCGUGGGGAGCAAACAGGAUUAGAUACCCCGGUAGUCCCUGUCUCUUAUAC